rnacentral:rRNA from 1 species
CCUACGGGAGGCAGCAGUAAGGAAUAUUGGUCAAUGGACGCAAGUCUGAACCAGCCAUGCCGCGUGAAGGAUGAAGCCCUCUGGGUUGUAAACUUCAUUGGAACCAUUCACGGUACCAGAGGAAUAAGCACCGGCUAACUCCGUGCCAGCAGCCGCGGUAAUACGGAGGGUGCAAGCGUUAUCCGGAUUCACUGGGUUUAAAGGGUGCGUAGGCGGAUUGGUAAGUCCGUGGUGAAAUCUCCAAGCUUAACUUGGAAACUGCCAUGGAUACUAUUAGUCUUGAAUGUUGUGGAGGUUAGCGGAAUAUGUCAUGUAGCGGUGAAAUGCAUAGAUAUGACAUAGAACACCAAUUGCGAAGGCAGCUGGCUACACAAAAUUGACGCUGAGGCACGAAAGCGUGGGGAUCAAACAGGAUUAGAUACCCUUGUAGUC